rnacentral:misc_RNA from 1 species
AAAAUUCACACUCUCCACACCCACACACACAAACAAAAACCCCCAAAACUCCUUUCGCACCAACAAAAAUGGCGAUUUCAGAUAAAGUAACAGCGAAUUUAACAACUCUGUAUCUAGCAAUUAUAGGUGCAAUGAAAGCUUACGGCUUAAUUAUCGGUCGAAAUUUCACUGGUUGCUUCGUUCUCAUACUUUCAACAGCUGCCGUCGCUCUGGUGUUGAUUUUGACUUUGACAUGGGAUAUUUACAUCAAGGCGAGAAAUGUUAGGGUUCGUCAUAAUCGGAUUAAUCAUCGUAAUCAGCAGCAGCAGCAUAAUAAUACUAGUAACGAAUUUUGUCGAGGUGGUAUAUGCUGGCACGGCGUCGCUGUUAGUUCUCCGGCGUCUCAUUUCCGGUUCCGGCUACCUCAAAAUCGUAUUUAAUUUGAUUCAGAAUUUAGACGAAGUAAGUUGAUUUAAUCGAAAAUAUAUAUAUAAAUUUUCAUAUUUUGGUCGGUAAUUUAUGUAGUUAUUU